AAAGUCGUAACAAGGUUUCCGUAGGUGAACCUGCGGAAGGAUCAUUAAAGUAUUCUUCGGUGCAGCCAGCGCUUCCACAGCGCGGCAGCCCAAACCUUACACACUGUGAUUAGUUUUUUUACUAUUUACUUUGGCUGCGCAAGUGGCCAAAGGUCUUAAACACAAAGAUUUAUAUCUUUUUUUACAAAAUUUAGUCAAUGAAGUUUUAAUACUAUAAUCUUCAAAACUUUCAACAACGGAUCUCUUGGUUCUC
rnacentral:misc_RNA from 1 species